rnacentral:rRNA from 1 species
AUUGAACGCUGGCGGCAGGCUUAACACAUGCAAGUCGAGCGGAGCGAGGGUGUUUGCACCUUAGCUUAGCGGCGGACGGGUGAGUAAUGCUUAGGAAUCUGCCUAUUAGUGGGGGACAACAUUCCGAAAGGGAUGCUAAUACCGCAUACGCCCUACGGGGGAAAGCAGGGGAUCUUCGGACCUUGCGCUAAUAGAUGAGCCUAAGUCGGAUUAGCUAGUUGGUGGGGUAAAGGCCUACCAAGGCGACGAUCUGUAGCGGGUCUGAGAGGAUGAUCCGCCACACUGGGACUGAGACACGGCCCAGACUCCUACGGGAGGCAGCAGUGGGGAAUAUUGGACAAUGGGGGGAACCCUGAUCCAGCCAUGCCGCGUGUGUGAAGAAGGCCUUUUGGUUGUAAAGCACUUUAAGCGAGGAGGAGGCGCUCUAGGAUAAUACCCUAGAUGCGUGGACGUUACUCGCAGAAUAAGCACCGGCUAACUCUGUGCCAGCAGCCGCCGUAAUAC